AAUACUUUAUUUUACGGAUAUAUGAUGCUUGUAGAGUCUGCAAGGAUUAUAUGAAGCGGGAUCCCGAGAAUCUCAAUUUUACGGCUUUGUCAUUUGGUGCUGUUUAUUGAAUUCUCACCAUGAUGCUGAAGAGCCCUUGGAGUAUACACGCUCUGAAAAUUUCUGUUGUCGAUUGUAUUUUCAGUUUGAAGAAGCUUUAACUCGUUUUUCCUGUUUUUAAGACAUCAGCUACUUUAUAAACAUUGUACCCCCCCCUUUUUUUUUUUUUUUUUGAAAUAUUUUUAAGUAUAUUUUUUAUAAAUAUUUUGCGUGAGUUUACUGAAUUAUUUCGUUUUUAUAGUUGAGAGAAUAAGUUUUUACUUUUCGCUACGAAGUUGUACCUUAUGUUAAUCAUAUCAAAAAUUAAAUUGAGUAUAAGUAUCCUUAAAUGCUUGACAUUUUAUUCUGGGGUAAGAGUUCUUAAAGUAAAUCAUUGUAUGUAAGGAGUUUUAAGUAUGCGCUAAUUAAUGUCGUAAGAUGGAUUUUAUCUGGAUUUUUUUUAGGGUGGGGUAUCUGAAGAUUUUCAACUUGAAUCCAAAAUUCAAAAGAAACGUAAGAUAAAAGUAAAUCUUGAAAUAAAUUUUCUCUGCUUUCAGGUGUUGUGGCGUGCAGUUCUACAGAGUACAGUGCGUUUUGAAUUUAUUGGUGUCUGUUAUAGUAAAUACCUGAAAUUCAUUAGAAUAUGCACUCGCUGGUAAAUUUGCUCAGCUUCCGGGGAUUAAUCUUGAUUCUUGCUAAUUACAUUCAGACAUCAUGAAUACGGUUUGCAGACUGACAAAUGGAUAAUAUAAUAUUCAAAUUGUAAGUAAUGAUAAUCUGUAAGACAUGUCACCCUAUGAAAUUUUUAUGGGUGCCAUACCAUCAGAAAUACUGAAAGAUGUAGGCACUGCAACAGUUUGCUUUAUUAAGCUUAUACAUGAUCACUAAAAUAGAGAACUUCCUUAUGAUGAAUUAAACAAUUUGAAAGUAUUUAAUACUAAUGCUAUCAAUAAAUACAAGCAGGAAUUUACAGUUUGGGUAACCUUAUGUAAUAUGCUUUCGGGGAAGGGAAAAGCUUAACAUUUGUUCCAAAUGGUAAAAAUAAUGUCUGUAUAAAUUAACAGGAAAUUUUUUGUAAUUAAAAUUUAUUGUUUAAUGACGAUUUGAAUUUUGUACUUUCAAAUUUAGAGUUUUGUAGCAUAUGGUCUCUCUGAUAUUAUGCAAAAAUUUGAAGUGUCAAAUUCAGAAUAUUAACAAGGAUUUAGAAUAUGAAUUCAGCUAAAACAAGAGAUUGAAAUAGACUGCAAGUAAGUCAAUUAUUUGACCACAUGAGAAUCAAAGAGCAUUCAGCUUGUAAAUCAAUAAUAAAUGAAGAGGCCAAUAAAGUAUGGAUUUCAACAAAGAAGAGGAGGAGGGAGAAAAAUGUCAAUAACAGGUAAACUGUUAACAUUUUUCUUAAAUAUUAUGUAUACCCGUUUUUAUAAUUAAAACUAUUUUAAAAAUCUGAAACAUUUAAUAUUGUCUGGAAAAGUUUUACUCGGGUGCACCAUGUAACACCAAGUAACUCAUAAGAAAAGUUAAGCGGGAAUUGGUGAGAACUCAAAGUCUUAAGUUCUGAUGGAAGCUUUGCACUUUUACUAGUAAUUGCACUCUUUUUAUUACACAGAUUUCGGGUCUUUAUGUGGUAUCAUAUACAUGCAAAUUCAUUUAGGAUGUGAAGAAAGUAUGUAGCUGGAUUGGCAUGAAUUCUACUACAUGGCAGUUCUUGGCUGAAAAAUGUUUGUGUUCUAUUUACAGUGCUUGUAAUUGUAAUGCUUAAUAUUUUAUAUUAUCUGUUACUUUUAUACUAUCUUAAAGGGAUGUUUGAAUAAAGGAGCAGAGAAAGGGUUUUUUUUAUUAUUAUUUUAAAGACAGUUUCAGUAUGAAUAUUCUACCAAAAUGAAAAGAAAAAUUAAUUUGCUUCUUUACUGGAGUCUUUUUUAUGCUAAUUAAAUGGUACUGAUAUAUAUAUGUGACAAGAAUGUAAGUCAUUGUGGAAUUGUGUUAGAAUUAAGAGUACAAAGCUGUGUAUUUGUGUGCAUUUUUGUGAAAAAUUGAUAUUAGCUUAGUGCGAUUUUUGUUCUUAAUCCUCUAUGAUCCGUCAACAUUUUAAUUUUCUAUACUUUCUUAGUUUCUUUUUUUUUUUUUUUAGACAUAUGUUUAAUUUUUUCGAGGCUAUUUGUAAUGAUUUUUAAUAAAUUAAAAUAUUCAUUUAUCAAUCUAAUAUGCUGUAUUUGUCUACUCUAUUAUAACCUGUUUUUAGCCUCUUAACGACGAGGCAGGCUAGUUGGUUUGUCAAUAGAAUCUUCCUUAUCUAUGGGGCAUGCUUUAUAGCGUUUUAUGUAAACUGGACCCUUAAAAAAGGGGAAGAAGAUUAAUUAUUUUUUUAGUUAAAGCAGCUUUUAAAUUAAGUGAAAUGUUCAUUUAAAUACAAAAUAUUCGCGCUUUUCAGAUAGCCAAAGUGCUUUCAGUGUUUAUGAACCGCAAUGCUAUUAUUCUACAAAAAAUAUUAGUUUUCCCCGUAGAUAGCAAAAGUUUAUUUAGAUCGGCACAUAGCGCACCCUAUUGUUAAAGUGUUAAUACAAAGAGAUAUGUUUUCAAAAAGAAUCUCCGCUAGAUGUUGUUAGCUUUUGCAUUUAUGCAAUAUAGUUAUCUGUAAUCUGUAUGUGAAGAAUCUUCCCAAAUCUGGGUUUUCAAAAUUUUUUUCUUCCUUUCAGUGACUGAAAAAUAUAAUUAAUCUUUCAAAUAUCAUUGAUUGGAGUCCAGCAUUACUUAUCACCAAGAAGAAUUUAAGAAUGAAUUGAAAUUCACUGUGAAAUUUCACACACAGUUUUGAAAUCCGUUGUGAACAAUGAGCAAUAAAGUAAUUAUUUGUAAAGUUUUUCAUAGGGGGUUGGUUAUCAUGUAAGCACUGAAAAUGCAGUAUUUUUAUUGGGUAUUAGAAAACAGCAAGCAAAGAAAGAAAUUCUAUCAAAUUAAAUGAAUGUAAUUUUUAACAACUAAGUUUCUUAUUAUUUCAUUUAAGUUUCUGUUUGUAUUACUUUUUUAACUAAUAGUUCGAGUUCAUUGGGAAUUGGGGCUAUGGCAUCUUUUUCCAUUACCAAAUGUUAAAGGUUAAAGAACAUUUAUUCUACCUUGUAUUCUAUUUUUAUUAUAUUUAUGAUAACUGAUAUUUCUCUAAUAUCUGAAAAAGGAUUUGUUUUCAGCUCUUAUUUGUAUUAUUUAUGAAAUGAACCAAACAUUUCCUCCAUCGUAUGAUUUUAAUGGUGAAUGAACGUUGCAUCCUACUUAGCAAAAUAUUUCGUGAUUUUUCCUUCAGCUGUAAUGAAUAAAGAUCUGAAUUAUGCUUUGUAGCAUGAUAUAAAUUAAUAACAAUUAUAAUACACAAACAUGUAUUUCUGUAUACUUAAGAUGCUUGUUGUGCAAGAAACGUAUAUGCUUUUUUGGCCUAAAAUUUGUUGAGAUCAUGAGGAUUAAGACACGUAGAUUGCCAAUAAAAUCUUUGUAUGUUUUUAUACUCAUUGUGAAUUUCAAGCUUUCUGUGUAACAUUGUUUAUAAAAUAAAUUUUGCUACUGAAUGUGA